rnacentral:rRNA from 1 species
UCGAGAAUUUUUCACAAUGGGCGCAAGCCUGAUGGAGCGACGCCGCGUGGGGGAUGAAUGGCUUCGGCCCGUAAACCCCUGUCAUUUGCGAUCAACCGUUAUUGUUUAAGAGAUAAUAACCUGAUAGUAGCGAAAGAGGAAGGGACGGCUAACUCUGUGCCAGCAGCCGCGGUAAUACAGAGGUCCCAAGCGUUGUUCGGAUUCACUGGGCGUAAAGGGUGCGUAGGUGGCGGGGUAAGUCGGAUGUGAAAUCUCCGAGCUCAACUCGGAAAUUGCAUUGGAAACUGCUCUGCUUGAGGAUUGGAGGGGGGACUGGAAUACUUGGUGUAGCAGUGAAAUGCGUAGAUAUCAAGUGGAACACCAGUGGCGAAGGCGAGUCCCUGGACAACUCCUGACACUGAGGCACGAAAGCUAGGGGAGCAAACA